AAAAACUUAGGAUAUUAAAACCAAGGGCCUUCAAAGCCCUAAAAAAGGGUGCAAG
rnacentral:tRNA from 1 species